CCUGGUUGAUCCUGCCAGUAACAUAUGCUUGUCUCAAAGAUUAAGCCAUGCAGGUCUAAGUGCACACGGCCGGUACAGUGAAACUGCGAAUGGCUCAUUAUAAAUCAGUUAUGGUUCCUUUGAUCGCUCCAUCCGUUACUUGGUUAUGGUUCCUUUGAUCGCUCCAUCCGUUACUUGGAUAACUGUGGCAUUCCAGAGCUAAUACUGCCAACGAGCGCCCCGACCCGGUCCCCCCGGGGGCCGGGGACGCGUGCAUUUAUCAGAUCCAAAACCCAUCCGGGUGCGGCGUGGGCUCCCCCUUCGGGGGUUCGGGCCCGUCCCCCGGCCGCUUGGUGACUCUAGAUAACCUCGGGCCGAUCGCGCGCCCUCCGCGGCGGCGACGAUUCAAUUCGAAUGUCUGCCCUAUCAACUUUCGAUGGUACUUUAGGCGCCUACCAUGGUGACCCGGGUAACCGGGGAAUCAGGGUUCGAUUCCGGAGAGGGAGCCUGAGAAACGGCUACCACAUCCAAGGAAGGCAGCAGGCGCGCAAAUUACCCAUUCCCGACACGGGGAGGUAGUGACGAAAAAUAACAAUACAGGUCUCUUUCGAGGGCCCUGUAAUUGGAAUGAGCGUAUCCUAAACCCAUGGGCGAGGACCCAUUGGAGGGCAAGUCUGGGUGCCAGCAGCCGCGGUAAUUCCAGCUCCAAUAGGCGUAUAUUAAAGUUGCGGCAGUUAAAAAGCUCGUAGUUGGAUCUCGGGAGUGGGCUGGCGGUCCGCCGCGAGGGCGAGCCACCGCCUGUCCCGGACCCUGCCUCCCGGCGCCCCCCGGAUGCCCUUAGCUGGGUGUCCGGUACCUCGGGGCCCGGAGCGUUUACUUUGAAAAAAUUAGAGUGUUCAAAGCAGGCCGCCCAGCCGCCGCUGAAUACCGCAGCUAGGAAUAAUGGAAUAGGACUCCGGUUCUAUUUUGUGGUCUGGAACCCGGGGCCAUGAUUGAGAGGGACGGCCGGGGGCAUUCGUAUUGCGCCGCUAGAGGUGAAAUUCUUUGGACCGGCGCAAGACGGACGAAAGCGAAGCAUUUGCCAAGAAUGUUUUCAUUAAUCAAGAACGAAAGUUAGAGGUUCGAAGGCGAUCAGAUACCGCCCUAGUUCUAACCAUAAACGAUGCCAACCAGCAAUCAGCCUGAGUUUUCAUGAUGACUCGGCUGGCGGCUUCCGGGAAACCAAAGUUUUUCGGUUCCAGGGGAAGUAUGGUUGCAAAGCUGAAACUUAAAGGAACGGAAGGUUCGAAGACGAUCAAUACCGUCGUAGUUCCGACCGUAAACGAUGCCGACCCGCGAUCCGGCGGCGUUAUUCCCAUGACCCGCCGGGCAGCGUGCGGGAAACCACGAGUCUUUGGGUCCGGGGGGAGUAUGGUUGCAAAGCUGAAACUUAAAGGAUUGACGGAAGGGGCACCACCAGGAGGUGGAGCCUGCGGCUUAAUUUGACUCAACACGGGAAACCUCACCCGGCCGACACGGAAAGGAUUGACAGAUUGAGAGCUCUUUCUUGAUUCAGUGGGUGGUGGUGCAUGGCCGUUCUUAGUUGGUGGAGCGAUUUGUCUGGUUUCAUUCCGAUAACCGAGACUCCGGCAUGCUAAAUAGUUACGCGGCCCCGCGCGGUCGGCGUCCCAACUUCUUAGAGGGACAAGUGGCGUUCAGCCACGCGAGAUGGAGCAAUAACAGGUCUGUGAUGCCCUUAGAUGUCCGGGGCUGCACGCGCGCCACAAUGGGCGGAUCAACGUGUGCCUACCCUGCGCCGAGAGGCGCGGGUAACCCGGUGGAACCCCGCUCGUGAUUGGGACUGGGGCUUGAAACUGGUUCCCCAUCAACGAACAUUCCCAGUAAGCGCAGGUCCUAAGCUUGCGUUGAUAUAAGCUUGCGUUGAUUAAGUCCCUGCCCUUUGUACACACCGCCCGUCGCUACUACCGAUUGGAUGGUUUAGUGAGGUCCUCGGAUCGCCCCGCCGGGGCUCCUCGCCGGGCCCUGGCGAGCGCCGAGAAGACGAUCAAACUUGAUCCUCUAGAGGAAGUAAAAGUCGUAACAAGGUUUCCGUAGGUGAACCUGCGGAAG
rnacentral:rRNA from 1 species